rnacentral:rRNA from 1 species
UCAGACGAUGCGUCAUGCAUAUCAAUAAGCGGAGGAAAAGAAACUAACAAGGAUUCCCCUAGUAACGGCGAGUGAAGCGGGAAGAGCUCAAAUUUGAAAUCUUAAAGGGUUUCCCUUUACGAAUUGUAGUUUAAAGAAGUGUUUUCUGUUGAGGUUUUGGUAAAAGUUCUUUGGAAUAGGACAUCAUAGAGGGUGAGAAUCCCGUAUUUGACCUUUACUUUCAACUUUGUGAUUCACUUUCAAAGAGUCGGAUUGUUUGGGAAUGCAGUCCAAAAUGGGUGGUAAAUUUCAUCUAAAGCUAAAUAUUGGCGAGAGACCGAUAGCGAACAAGUACCGUGAGGGAAAGAUGAAAAGAACUUUGAAAAGAGAGUUAAACAGUACGUGAAAUUGUCAAAAGGGAAGCGUUUGACACCAGUGUUGUUUUUCUGAAAAUCAAUUAAAGAACUGUUUAUGCUAAGCUGUUUAGACUUUAUCAGCUAACUGUUUAGUUUUGAGCUUUUCUUUAAUGCACUUUUCAGUUAACAAGUCAACAUCAAUUUCUUUUGCUGUAAAAAAGCUUGAGGAAGGUGGCUUGAGAUUCGUCUUAAGUGUUUAUAGCCUCUUGCCUAUGCAGUCGGAGAGAUUGAGGUCUGCAGCGUAGAUCCUUCGGGGCUAAAUGCAUUUGUGCUAAGUUAUAGCAUUUCAUAGACAACUUGUUGACUAUGAUUUGUCUUGUAGCUUACUCGCUUAUGUUAUUUUACCUACGCUUAGGAUGUUGAAUCUGUGCGAGACUAC